CUGCAUUGUUUUUAAACCUUUUUAUUGGAAGUACGAAUUCAAUGCCAGACAUUACAAUGGAAGGCAGUAAGUUCAUAAAUUCUUUCUUUCAUUUAUUUGUUUAUUUUGUACUGGGGAUCGUCGAACUCGGGUCUUGGAGCUUGCAAGGCAAGGCAGGUGGCGGAACCACUGUGCCAAUUCCCCGGCCCUGAGGACCCGAAAUUUAUCACACAAACCCAGACACUUUGGAGCCAAUAAGGAACCUCUUAUAAUUACACCUGAAAGUAGAUGGAAAACGGGGUGGCCCCCGCAAACCGGGAUGUAUGGCUACCCUACCAAAGGGGCCAGGGUCUGGCAGGGAGAAAAUGAUUCUGAGGGAGGUGGAAACCUUUAUGGCUCUAGCUGUUGGCUUGGCAGGGAGUGACUUCUAGGGACCUUCCGGGUAGCUCGCCGUUGUCUGGGGACCUGAAAUAGGAGGAAAGACGUUGUCUGCAAACACUGAACAGGUGGCGUUUGUUUCUCUGAGGAAUUCCCAGCUGCUGAGUUUACUGUCUCAGCUCUCCCUGUGCCUUCACGGGCAGUUACAGGGUUUGAAAGGUUUCAUGCUGUCCAGGUGGAACCUCCUCCACCUGUCGGGCAGCUGCACAAUCUGGGACAGACCGCGGGCUGGGCGCUCUUCCUCUGCGUCAUUGCUGCGGUUUGAAUAAGAAACGGGAAUGGCGGACGACCUGGGGAAGAUGAACUGCGAGUCCUCCCAGCGCGCCAGACUGGGCUUAGGUUUCAUUUUCUUAAGGCUUAGGUAUCAUUUCCCCGAGAGGAAGCACACAAUAGUAAUUUUAAAAAAUCAUUUUCCAUAAAAACGUGUGUAUUAGAAAAUGAUGAGGACGAGCAGGUCCUGUGGGAAGAUGAGAAGACUUUCCGGAGUGAGAGGCGAAGGACGUGUUCCAAGCAGAGGGAGCUCAGCAGGCCAGAAGACAGCCAGAGAAGAGCCAAGGCCAGAGGGAGUCAGGAUGGAUGACCCAGUGAAGGCCAAGAUAAUUUUUUACUCUUUGCGGAAACCACCAUGGCUGAGCACCUUGAAGACCCCUCUUCCUCUCCUACCCAUACUCCAACCCUCAAGCUCCACCUCCCCUUGCCUCCUGUAUUGUAGCGGCUUCCCACAGACACCUGUGCUUGCCUUGGACACAAGUGCUUUGGAGCAGAGCACCCGGAAAGUGAACUUCUUUAGUAUUAGCAUUUAUUGCUAGAUGUGAACACGUGCUUUACAGUGCUGGAAGACUCUUCCCACAGGGGGCCUGUGUGCCUCCCACAACAUCCGAGAAAAAUCCCACGUGGACAUGCUGAAGAAAAACGGUGUCUGUGCUCUUGGUGCUGCCCUUGUCUUCCUAUAUCCCGUAAUGUCCCUUACAAGGCAGCACACUCCUGAGCAAGGUAGAGGUUGGCAGGACUCUUGUACUUGUAAAUGUUUUGCUGGUCUAAAGGUGAGUUUAUGAGGAUGUUUAUGAGGAUGAUCUCACAAGACAGCGAAACACAGACUCAGCUUGUCUCCUGAGUGAGACCGAGCUGCAAUGACUGGGGUUUAGGCCAAAGAGCUCUCGGGUGGGUGCAGAGUCACUGUUUGUAGCCAACACGGUGGGAAGAGUUGUUAGGAGAAUGCCCAGGGGUGCUUCUGUCUGGAGAGCACCCAAGCCAAUCAAAAUUUACAGCCCUGGGGCAAGGGAGCCAAAGCACUCCACUUGGUGAUCUCCACAAGUUCUUCUUCUGAGGGGACUGCUCAGCAAAGAGAAAUCAAGACCCACCUUUCACAGAGCAGGAGAGUGAGGAAAUAAAAUGCAAAGGAGCAAAUGACAGUGUAUAGUACACCAGACACGUGUAAAAUAGGGUCAGAGUACCUGCCCUGAAGGUUGCUUAAUAAGUAAAUAUUUCCUUUUUAAAAGUUUUAUGUUCAUAAAACAAAAGUAGCACCUAAGCAAUCCUUUAUUAUAUGACACACUGCAUACUGAUCUCUCUCUCUCUCUCUGUUUUAUAGGUUGUGUCAUCUUUGUGGUCACAGGAUACAUAUUACUUGAUAUGUUCAGUUUGCAGUCAUUUACAGCGUUUUGUUUUUCUCUUUUUCGUACUAGAAUUUAGGAAAGAUUUUUGUGUGCAGCAAUGCUAUUGGAUUCAGAGUAAAUACAAAAAAAAAAAGAAUAAAAACUGUUUUGGAAAUGAAGUAUACAUUUGUGUAUGCUGGAGAGAGGAAGACCAAAGGUACAAGGAA
ensembl:lincRNA